rnacentral:sRNA from 1 species
GCAGCAUGGGAAGAUGGGCAGCAAAGCACCGAUGUCCUGCUAGAACGUCCUGGCAGGUUGCUUAUGGAACCACAGAGAACAGUCCCGUGACAUUCGCGCACUUCCCUGAGGACACUGUGGAGCAGAAGACAGAGGAAGCAGUGGAUCAGGACAAGUGGUAUUGGACAGGCACCAUUCUCGCCGCUAGAGGUCCAGAGGAAAGUAAGAUGAGAAGGAUCCUGCUUUUUGGAGGAAGACAGAUGAUGCCCAACAUCGAUAAAUAACACCAAGAAAAUAGGCCAGGCGCAGUGACUCACACCUGUAAUCUCAGCACUUUGGGAGGCCGAGGCGGGUGGAUCACCUGAGGUCAGAAGUUUGAGACCAGCCUGGCCAACACAGUGAAACCCCACCUCUACUAAAAAUAUAAAAAUUAGCCGGACGUGGUGGCGGCAUGUGCCUGUAGUCCCAGCUACUCGGAGGCUGAGGCAGGAGAAUCGCUGUAACCCAGGAGAUGGAGGUUGCAGUGAACCGAGAUCGCGCCACUGCACUCAAGACUGGGCGACAGAGCAGGACUCCAUCUCAAAAACAAACAAGCAAACGAACAAACAAAAAACACUAAGAAAAUGAAAUAGGGUUAUAGGAGAGAAAGUGGCUGUGGUGGGGAGGGGAGCUUCCCUUAGAUUGAGUGGACAGAGAAGAUGUCUGGAGACAUUUGAGCUGAGACCUG